rnacentral:rRNA from 1 species
UACAGAGGGUGCAAACGUUGCUCGGAAUCAUUGGGCGUAAAGCGCACGUAGGCGGUCUGUUAUGUCGGAUGUGAAAGCCCUUGGCUUAACUGAGGAAGUGCAUCCGAAACUGGCAGGCUAGAGUACUAAAGAGGGUCGCGGAAUUCCUGGUGUAGCGGUGAAAUGCGCAGAUAUCAGGAGGAACACCGGUGGCGAAGGCGGAUCUCUGGGCCUUACCUGACGCUGAGGCGCGAAAGCUAGGGGAGCAAACAGG